AUGGGUGGUUUAUGCUGUUUUAGCCCGUGCAACCAGUACAGUGUGCCGCCUUCCAUGCAAACAAGGGCAAGAGGAACUUUCAGAUCAGGACGUGUUUGAUGAAUUUCAAAGUAUUGGUUGCUAGAGCAUCAGAACCACGAAAGGUGGGUAACUCAACUUGUUUGGUUGUGAGGGUAGUGGGAGGUGUAACUUUUUAUGUUGGCAGUGAUUGAGUGGCGGGAACAACAGUUGAAUGGGUGGCAGAAUCCCCUUCAUCUAUCUUUUCCUCAGGCUAUGGUGGUCAAAAGACCUAUCGCAGCAAGUUUAUUGUGGAGCUGUUCAUUGUCCAAACGGAGUUUGGCUACCCUGUUAUCAGUGACGCCGAGAUUCUUCUCCUCUGUUCCCACUCUGGAUUCUGUUUGUGUGUGUGUGUCAUUCAAGCAGCAGUUCGUACCAAUUUGGUCGAGUAAAGAAUCUUAAUGGGAAGGAAAGA
rnacentral:misc_RNA from 1 species